UCCUACGGGAGGCAGCAGUGGGGAAUAUUGCACAAUGGGGGAAACCCUGAUGCAGCGACGCCGCGUGAAGAAGAAGUAUCUCGGUAUGUAAAUUCUAUCAGCAGGGAAGAUAGUGACGGUACCUGACUAAGAAGCCCCGGCUAACUACGUGCCAGCAGCCGCGGUAAUACGUAGGGGGCAAGCGUUAUCCGGAUUUACUGGGUGUAAAGGGAGCGUAGACGGUGUGGCAAGUCUGAUGUGAAAGGCAUGGGCUCAACCGUGGACUGCAUUGGAAACUGUCAUACUUGAGUGCCGGAGGGGUAAGCGGAAUUCCUAGUGUAGCGGUGAAAUGCGUAGAUAUUAGGAGGAACACCAGUGGCGAAGGCGGCUUACUGGACGGUAACUGACGUUGAGGCUCGAAAGCGUGAGGAGCAAACAGGAUUAGAUACCCUGGUAGUCCACGCCGU
rnacentral:rRNA from 1 species